rnacentral:lncRNA from 1 species
GAUGUUACUACAAACAUUCAAACUGAUACCUACUGAGAAGCACUCUAGGCUAAGUGGUUUGGAAAUUCUGCAUCCCCCAGAGUGCUUCAAUGCUUCUGAUGAAAGCCCUGAUAUAUGGGAUUCCUGUUGUGAGAUCCUAGGUGAAUAAUCCUAACUGCAGGACUAAUAUUGGACAUACUCAGAGACAGACUUCAUAAGGCCACCCUCACUUUUCCACAUCAGGUGGA